UAGGGAAUCUUCGGCAAUGGGGGCAACCCUGACCGAGCAACGCCGCGUGAGUGAAGAAGGUUUUCGGAUCGUAAAGCUCUGUUGUAAGUCAAGAACGGGUGUGAGAGUGGAAAGUUCACACUGUGACGGUAGCUUACCAGAAAGGGACGGCUAACUACGUGCCAGCAGCCGCGGUAAUACGUAGGUCCCGAGCGUUGUCCGGAUUUAUUGGGCGUAAAGCGAGCGCAGGCGGUUUGAUAAGUCUGAAGUUAAAGGCUGUGGCUCAACCAUAGUUCGCUUUGGAAACUGUCAAACUUGAGUGCAGAAGGGGAGAGUGGAAUUCCAUGUGUAGCAGUGAAAUGCGUAGAUAUAUGGAGGAACACCGGUGGCGAAAGCGGCUCUCUGGUCUGUAACUGACGCUGAGGCUCGAAAGCGUGGGGAGCGAACAGGAUUAGAUACCCUGGUAGUCCACGCCGUAAACGAUGAGUGCUAGGUGUUGGAUCCUUUCCGGGAUUCAGUGCCGCAGCUAACGCAUUAAGCACUCCGCCUGGGGAGUACGACCGCAAGGUUGAAACUCUAAAGUGAAUU
rnacentral:rRNA from 1 species